rnacentral:tRNA from 4 species
GGGCGGCUAGCUCAGUUGGUCAGAGCACCUGGUUUACACCCAGGGGGUCGGGGGUUCGAGCCCCUCGCCGCCCACCA